GCGGGGAUAGCUCAGUUGGGAGAGCGUUAGACUGAAGAUCUGAAGGCCGUGUGUUCGAUCCACACUCACCGCA
rnacentral:tRNA from 1 species